UUAAGAUACAGGAGCAUUUUGGCUAUAGUUUCAAACCUUUAUUUGAUUUUUAAAACUUACAUCCCGAUUAGCUUUGGAUACUUUGAGUGCAAUUUGUGGCAAAUCCAAAAGCUUAAAAAACGUAAUACUUUUUUGAUUGUGAAUGACGAUAAUUUGUUGAGGAAUGCAAUAUACAAUGUAAUCCACAUUCAAUUUUGAGAAGAGUAAUUCCAUCUUGUUUGUGUGAUGAUGGGCUUUCAUAUUUAAAAAAUACCCUGAUGUUCAUAAUAAAGAACUCAGUAUAUAUGUUUACAUAUACCAGCAGCAUAGUACAAAUCUUACCAAUUAUAAAAGAGAAGAAUAAGAAAAAAUACGAGAUGAAUUAAUAAUUCAUCUGAGCAGCUAUUAGACCGAGUGUUUGACAACCCCUCCAAAAAAAUUAAAACACUCAAUUGAAAAAUGCCCUUACAAAGAGAAAAAAGAAUAAAGAUUGUUUCUCUUCUUCUUGAAUGACAUAAAUCUACAUAUAUUUGAAACUUGACUUAACCAAGCAGGCAGACUAUUUACAACAUCAAGAAGGCCAUUAAUGACGGUAUUGACAUCGAUAUGAGGUUACACAUUCCUCUUUGGAGGCCAACAUUCCAUUCUGGCCAAAAACAGUGUGGCCACCAUUUUUCCAGAUACCAAGGUGAUCAACUUAUCAAAUCCAACCGCAUGGAAGCCAGAGACUGACAGACAAAGGCACUGAAUUAUUAAGCACUCUAGGAGUCUGUUGAUGAACUUUGAUACUCAAUUAACCUAAUACAUGAUUACAACCUAAGAUAGGAUGCAGAGGCGCAUCAAGGCUAUAAUCAAAAUUCAUAGAGGCAAAAUUAAAGAUUAGAAAUGGCAACACAUUUGUCUACAUCUGUAAACAGUUUAAUUAAAAUAGCUUCCGAAAUUUAACUUGUAAAAUUUUAUAUUUGAUAUGGUAAGUUUUCAAUGAUGAGCCUAUUAUAUAUAAAUAUGGGUGUUAAAUCGUACAGAAAAACGUCCACCUCCCUUAAAAAUCCCAAAAAUAUUUUUUAUGGCCAUUGUUUUCACAUAAACAUCCAUUUAGAAAAAAAAAAUGAUUGACAUCCCGCUAAGUAAAGACUAAACGAGCAUAAUGGUUUUCAUCCAAAAUCAUUAACAAAAAAAUAAAAACAACCUAUCAUCAUUACUAAUAGAUGGGAUUUUUUGUUACUAUUUAUAAACCCAAAGCACUUAAUUUAGAGUAAACAUUAAAAGGUUUAUUGUGUAUAUAUGAGUUAAAAACACGUUUAUAACAGGUGCGUCAUUGAAAACUAGAAAAAAUGAAUCUGGAAUUUAAACAAAUAUUAUUUCAGAACCUAAGGAAGCUAAAUUAACUAAACUUAAUACAAAUAUUGAGAUAUGUGUUCCCAUAUAUAAUCUUAAAUGUAGUUUCCAUCAACUUUAAUCUUGGCUCCGUCUUGUUGCAAGAAGGUGAUAGUGCUUUCCUGGUUAUUGAGAAGUGUUUAACAACACUGAAGGUAGUCCUGCCAAACUUUAUGUGUCAAUAACGGACGCCGCAAUAUUGUCAAGCUCUUACCCAUAUCUUCAUGAAGGCAUUCCAGAUGGUACCUUCGGAAACGUUGAAGUCUUUGGAAGGAAACGACUGAGACGCAAACCUACGCAGAUUGAAAAUAAUUUCACCCCAGGGUAUUGCUCAUAGAGCUAAGAUGUUCCAAUGAUUUAUUUCAGCUGUUUGGGGCAGCCUCCUUAAUGCCAUCUGGAGUUAUUUUGGAUCAGUCAUCGCUUUCAAAUUUCCUUUCGAUGCUAUAACAGUCAUUUAUGGCCUUAUGGAAUUAGUGUGCCUGCUUUCGGAUCUCUGUUUAUGUUUGCUCUGCGCAAUGUACCCAUUUUUUUUCUCUUUUUUUACUUAUAAUUCGAUUUUUUUUUAUAUAGAGCUUAUCAGUUGAUAGGAUGAAUGAUCAAUUCCUCUCCUUUACAAGUGUUCAGAUUUCAAAUGAAAACCUGGUAUAAAUAUUGUGAGUUCUUUAAUAAUAAACAUUAGGUUACUUAUUUAUAAAUUUAGAACAUCAACAAAGUAGCAACCUAGCAAUAUUUUUCUUAAAAUUGAGUUUGUAAUCCAUUUGAUGUAUUUUUUGACAAAAAAAAACUCUCUUCCUAUAAACAAAUUAUCUAGUAAUAACUCUUUGGAUGUGCUACAAAUUCAAACUGUACUUGAAUGAAUACAUGAAGAAAAAAAACGUUAUGGUUUUUUUUUUUUUAUUUGAUUUAUGUUCGAAAUUAUUUUUUUGUUGAUGCAU
rnacentral:lncRNA from 1 species